rnacentral:rRNA from 1 species
UACGGAGGAUCCAAGCGUUAUCCGGAAUCAUUGGGUUUAAAGGGUCCGUGGGCGGUUUGGUAAGUCAGUGGUGAAAGCCCAUCGCUCAACGGUGGAACGGCCAUUGAUACUGCCAGACUUGAAUUAUUAGGAAGUAACUAGAAUAUGUAGUGUAGCGGUGAAAUGCUUAGAGAUUACAUGGAAUACCAAUUGCGAAGGCAGGUUACUACUAAUGGAUUGACGCUGAUGGACGAAAGCGUGGGUAGCGAACAGG